rnacentral:sRNA from 1 species
CCCGCUCCCGGGUCUCCUUUGGCCUGGGGUAACCCGAGGUGCAGAGCUGAGAAUGAGGCGAUUUCGGAGGAUGGAGAAAUAGCCCCGAGUCCCGUGGAAAAUGAGGCCGGCGGACUUGCUGCAGCUGGUGCUGCUGCUCGACCUGCCCAGGGACCUGGGCGGAAUGGGGUGUUCGUCUCCACCCUGCGAGUGCCAUCAGGAGGAGGACUUCAGAGUCACCUGCAAGGAUAUUCAACGCAUCCCCAGCUUACCGCCCAGUACGCAGACUCUGAAGCUUAUUGAGACUCACCUGAGAACUAUUCCAAGUCAUGCAUUUUCUAAUCUGCCCAAUAUUUCCAGAAUCUACGUAUCUAUAGAUGUGACUCUGCAGCAGCUGGAAUCACACUCCUUCUACAAUUUGAGUAAAGUGACUCACAUGUAAGUACAAGGAAAAGUGCAGCAUAGACCUAAGCCACAACCACUCUUGACUGAUAAUCUUGGGGCUCCAGAUGGCAAUGGGAGCUGGUUUCUAGAUUGUGAGUCAAAACUUCUGUUUAUGAUUAAAUUAUUAACCUGCUCUCAU